rnacentral:rRNA from 1 species
AUUGAACGCUGGCGGCAGGCCUAAUACAUGCAAGUCGAGCGGACGAACGGGGCUCGCUCUUGGCUUCAGCGGGGGACGGGCGGGUGAGGCAUAGGAGUCUACCCGACCUAUGGGGCUGACGUCAGGAAACGGGCGCUGAUACCGCACCCGUCCAGAGGGUGAAACGGGGGGUUCUUCGGACAUCACCCUUCUUGCUGUGCCUAGGUCGGAUUAGCUAGUUGGUUAGGUAAAGGCCUACCAAGGCGACGAUCCGUAGCUGGUCUGAGAGGAUGAUCAGUCACACUGGAACUGAGACACGGUCCAGACUCCUACGGGAGGCAGCAGUGGGGAAUAUUGGGCAAUGGGCGAAAGCCUGAUCCAGCCAUGCCGCGUGUGUGAAGAAGGUCUUCGGAUUGUAAAGCACUUUUAGUUGGGAGGAAGAGCAGUAUGUUAAUACCUGGCUGUUUUGACGGUACCAACAGAAUAAGCACCGGCUAACUACGUG